rnacentral:rRNA from 1 species
GAACGCCUUGGGGGCGCAAGCUUCAGGGAGUGGCGGACGGGUGAGUAAGACGUGGGUUAUCUACCUUUCGGUGAGGAAUACCGGCGAGAAAUCGCCGACAAAACCGCAUGAGUUUCGUGCAAACGAAAGAAAGUCGCAAGACGCCGAAAGAUGAGCCUGCGGCCGAUUAGCUAGCUGGUGGGGUAAAAGCCUACCAGGGCGACGAUCGGUAGCUGGUCUGAGAGGACGAUCAGCCACACUGGGAUUGAGAACGGCCCAGACUCCUACGGGGGGCAGCAGUGAGGAAUUUUCGUCAAUGGGCGCAAGCCUGAACGAGCAACGCCGCGUGCAGGAAGAAGGUUUUCGGAUCGUAAACUGCUUUUCUGUGGGAAGAAAACGGACUGUACCACAGGAAGAAGCCCCGGCUAACUACGUGCCAGCAGCCGCGGUAAU